rnacentral:rRNA from 1 species
AACGAACGCUGGCGGCAUGCCUAACACAUGCGAGUCGAACGAGACCUUCGGGUCUAGUGGCGCACGGGUGCGUAACGCGUGGGAAUCUGCCCUUGGGUUCGGAAUAACAGUGAGAAAUUACUGCUAAUACCGGAUGAUGUCUUCGGACCAAAGAUUUAUCGCCCAGGGAUGAGCCCGCGUAGGAUUAGCUAGUUGGUGGGGUAAUGGCCUACCAAGGCGAUGAUCCUUAGCUGGUCUGAGAGGAUGAUCAGCCACACUGGGACUGAGACACGGCCCAGACUCCUACGGGAGGCAGCAGUGGGGAAUAUUGGACAAUGGGCGCAAGCCUGAUCCAGCAAUGCCGCGUGAGUGAUGAAGGCCUUAGGGUUGUAAAGCUCUUUUACCCGGGAUGAUAAUGACAGUACCGGGAGAAUAAGCUCCGGCUAACUCCGUG